GGGGCUGUAGUAUAGCCUGGUUAGUAUCUAAGGUUUGGGACCUUAUGACCCCGGUUCAAAUCCGGGCAGCCCCA
rnacentral:tRNA from 1 species